UUUUUUUUUUUUUUUCCUCAUUUCUGUUCCUGUGGAUGAUUUCUAGUUUCAUGCCAUUGUGGUCUGAGAAGAUACUUGAAGUAAUUUCUAUACUCUUAAAUUUGUUGAGGUUAGUUUUGUGCCGCAUAUGUGGUCAAUCCUUGAGAAUGCUCCAUGUGCACUUGAAAAGAAUGUAUAUUCUGACUUUUUUGGAUGUAAUGUUUCGAAAGUGUCAAUUAAAUCUACAUUUUCUAUUGUGUCACUUAGGACAUCUGCUGCCUUAUUGAUUUCUGUGUGGAGGAUCUGUCCAUUGAUGUGAGUGGGGUGUUAGUCUCCUGCUAUUACUGUAUUCCCAUCAAUUAUUCCUUUUAUGUCUUUUAGUAUUUAUAGUAUGUAUCUGGGUGCUCCUAAUAUUAGAGGCAUAUAAAUUGAUAAGCGUAAUAUCUUCUUCUUGAAUGGAUCCUUUUAUCACUAAGUAGUGUCUUUCUUUGUCUUCCUUUAUGGCCUUCAUUUUAAAGUCUAUUUUGUCUGAUACGAGUAUUGGAACCCUGCUUUCCUGUCUUUUCCAUUCCUAUGACGUUUCUUUUUCCAUCUCCUCACUUUCAAUUUAUACGUGUCCUUUGCCCUAAGAUGAGUCUCUUGUAGGAAGCAUACUGUAGUUCUUACUUUUGUAUCCAGUCUGCUACUCAUGUCUUUUGAUUAGAACAUUCAAUCCACUGACAUUUAAGGUAAUUAUUAAUAUAUAUUUAUUGCCAUUUUAAAUGUUUUCCAAUUGAGUCUACUUGUCUCCUUUGUUCCUUUCCUUUUUUGGUUGCAUGAUUUCCUUUUAUUUUAUGCUUGUGUUUUCUUCUUUCUAGUGUUUGUGAAUGUAUUAUUUUGUUUUGAUUUGUGGUUGCCCUGUUUCUCAAGUAUAUUAACCUCUUCCUAUACGGGCUUGCUUUAGCCUGAUAGUCAUGUAGGCUCAAACACAUUCUAAAAAAAGAGUCUAGAUUUUCUUACUUUCCUUACCCACACUGUAUGAUUUUGAUGUCCUUUUUUAACAUCUUCAUGAUUAUCCUUUUGUUGUUCCUACCACCUAAAAGAAUUACAAAAAUAACAGACAAAACCUAAAGUCAGCAGAAGGAAGAAAAACAUAAAGAUCAGAGAGGAAAUCAGUAAAAUAGAGAUUCAAAAAACAAUAGAAAAAAGUCAAUAAAACCAAGAGCUGGUUCUUUGAAAGGGUAAACAAAAUGGACAAACCUCUGGCCAGACUCACCAAGAAGAGAGAAAGAGCUCAAAUAAACAAAAUAAGAAAUGAAGGAGAAUUAUCAAUGGAAACAAAAGAAAUCCAAGAAGAAGAAGAGGAAGAGGAAGAAGAAGAAGAGGAAGAAGAAGAGGAAGAAGAAGAGGAAGAAGAGGAGGAGGAAGAGGAGGAAGAGGAGGGAGAGGAGGAAAAGGAGGAAGAGGAAGAGGAGGAAGAGGAAGAGGAAGAGGAAGAAGAAGAAGAAGAAGAAAAUACUAUGAACAAUUAUAUGCCAACAAAUUUGACAACCUAGAAGAAAUGGAGAACUUUCUAGAGACAUACAGCUCACCAAAACUGAAUCAAGAAGAAACAGAUCAAUUGAACACACUGAUCGCUAGUAAUGAAAUUGGAAAUGUCAUGAAACCCUCCCUACAAACAAAAGUCCAGGAUCAGAUAGCUUCACGGGUGAAUUCUACCAUACAUACAAAGAACUUAUACCCAUCCUUCUUAAACCCUUCCCAAGGGUUGAAGAAGAAAGAAUAAUCCCAAAGACAUUCUAUGAAGCCACUAUCACCCUAAUACCAAACCAGACAAAACUACUACCAAAAAAGAAAAUUAUAGGCCAGUAACUUUGAUGAAUAUAGAAAAUGUUUGAUGACUUCCCUAUUUAUAAUAAUAUUUCAUUCUUUCUUAAACUUCACUAUGAAGUCUCUUCUGGAAAUAAUUAGGCUUUACCACAAUGAGCUGAUGUGUUACACAGUAUUAUUGUCCAAAUGCAGGAUGAAAUGAUCCACGAAACUUGAAACUUGAUAACACAUUUUUCCUAAACAGUGAGCUGACCAGCAGUAUUUUCUAAAUUGAAAUGUGAACUGAACAAAGUAUCUUUGGACUUCCUGCUUUAAAUUCUAAAUGGAAAGUAUUCAAUACACAUUCUCAAAGUAGAACACUAAGUUACAAAUAUAGACACAUUUACCAUAAAGAAAUCUGAAAGGAAUACCUUAAAAUAUCUUAUGUAUAGAUAAUUAUUAAUCACUGACAUACUGGAAGUUUUACUAACAACAACUAAACUUUUAUUUGAUAAUGUGAAGAAAUCAUAUUGGUACCCUAAAGUACCUAAAAUACUUCAUUACAAAGAUUUGUUUUGGUCAGAUAAGUAUAGAACUGAACAAGGUUUAUGAUCUAAACUUUACCUAAAUGAACUAUCAAUUCAUGUACAGGACAUAGAAUAGUUUGAUGAAAAUUUACUGCUUUAAUUCCUAGUAAUAAUGCAAAUUUUAGUUUCAUCAAUUUUUUAAUUCAUACAAUUAAAUUAACUUAAAUAUUAGAAUGGUUCAAAAUCAUGUUCAUUCAACAUAAUUUUUUUAUUUCCCCAAUAUAUCAUUAUUAUUUUCUACUGUAUAGCAUGGUGACCCAGUUACACAUACAUGUAUACAUUCUUUUUUCUCCAUCAAACUCCUGGUAGAGAACACAGGCAAAACAUUCUCUGACAUCAGCCUUACAAGUGUUUUCUCAGGUCAGUAUCCCAAAGCAACAGAAAUAAAAACAAAAAUAAAUCAACAUCAUUUAAAAUAUUAGGAUGUUUCAAAAUGACGUUCAUUGUUAGAAUCUACCUAUUUGGACAAUAGUUUAAUAGGAAACACUAAGAUGGAGAGAAAUAAUUCAGCUAACCUUUGCUGAUAGGUAUUCACAGAAAUAAAAGUUUUCUCUACUUCUAUAAUUCAGUAGAAUUAGUCUGAAAUUCUGUUUCUCAUGUUUUUCUCCUCAUUCUUCAGCUCCAAUCUUCUAAAAUAUGUGACAGACAUAGCUACUGCAUUUUGGCUCUGCUCUCUUUCUCCCUAUGUGUUAAAAAACCAUUACAUUUGACACCUGAUUCCCUUGGAGAAACUGUUAAAUGCCUUUAGGCUCAUUUUAGAGGCUAAAGUUGCAUUUUUUUUUCUUCUUGUGGCAAGGACACUUAACAUAUAUGGGUUUUGACAGUUAUUUCAAGGCACCCUUUGACUAGAGUUUCAAAACAAAGAACAUAGAUUUGCAUGUACCUGUUCUUUAUAGGAUAAAUGAUUCUGAUCAUACACAACUCAAAUGAAUUCAACUAAAUAUGCCUUGAAAAUGAAGAAAAGCUAACCAACAAAAUAUAUGUACAGAGAUAUAAUAUUGUAAAUAGCACAUGCCCCAGAAUGACUGUUAAUGGGACAUACAAUCCAAUUCACUAUUCCCAUAGGAGAUUUGAGUUCUCAAUUAUCUGUCAUAUUAUGAGCAUUCCACCAGGGUGAGUAUGACCUUCCUUUUAAAAACAUAAAAACUCUAUAAAAUGUGAUUCCUAAACAUAAGUCUACUGUUUCAUUUGGCGUUCAACCAAUAACUUGUUCAUCUAUCUCAAACCUAGAAGUAGAACACUCUGCAUAGAAUCACUGUGAGGAAAUACUGGUUUCCUACUGGGCACCAUCAGUUUCUAGGUUGAAGCGUACAUCCUUGGGAGUCAAAUGAUUCUCUAGAACAUGGGAGUGAGUAGCAGAGACAAGUCUGAAAUUCCAGUCUCCAGACUCCCACUCCUUGCUCCUCUAGUACACUUUAACAAUUUCCCUUCCUUAUAAGACCAUCCAAUCAAAUGCUGACAGACUUCAUGGACUUUUCCAACCAUAUUUCCCAGUCUCCCUGGCAUACAACUGUGCUUCAAUCAAAUUGGGUUUUCCAUGCAUGAGCUUGCUGCACAUAAUACUGGC
rnacentral:lncRNA from 1 species